rnacentral:rRNA from 1 species
UACGUAGGUGGCAAGCGUUGUCCGGAUUUACUGGGCGUAAAGGGCGCGUAGGCGGCCACCGCAAGUCGACUGUGAAAUCUCCGGGCUUAACCCGGAAAGGUCAGCCGAUACUGCGGGGCUAGAGUGCAGAAGGGGCAACUGGAAUUCUCGGUGUAGCGGUGAGAUGCGUAGAUAUCGAGAGGAACACCUGCGGCGAAGGCGGGUUGCUGGGCUGACACUGACGCUGAGGCGCGAAAGCUAGGGGAGCGAACGGG